UUCUUUAAAAACGCCUCCCUCACUCGGCUGGUGGCCCCACUUCCGUGGUGCCCAGAGCCGUUGCCCCACUUCCUGAGAGAGAGCUCGCUGUCCCAGUGCCCCGUCCAGCGUGGGGUCUGGGUGAGGGGUCUGCUGGUCACUGCUUGACCCCCCCACUUGUACCCAAUGUUCUCCCCCAGAAGGUGGAAUGCGCCCCCAGGGGAGCCGGGCCUCUGGGACAGGCCUGGCUGGGCAGACUCUUUCACGGGGCUUUUAAAUGCAGCCUCUUGUCUCCUUGACAUUCCUUCCUUCCUGUGGGGGUCUCGAGGGAGAGCCCCCGCUCCCUCCUCACCCCUCUGGGGAAGGGACUCCUUCCUGACCCUCGUCAGAGAGGGGAGAGAGGGCAGCCCCCCCGGGGACGCAGCCCAGAAGCUGCUCCCUCUCUUCUUGGGACCACUGGUAUCAGAUGGCGCUCGUGACAGGAGAAGCCUGGAGGGACUGAAGGGGCUGAGAAAGCAGUGCUGUGUGUCCUUGAAUAAGUCAUUUAACCUCUCUGAACCUCACUAAGGUAGCACAGGACCUAUAUUCUAAUUCUGCCUUACAAAGAUGAGAGGAAAUAGCGCAUGCACGUGCGCACGCACGCAUACACACACACGCGCGUGCACACACACACAGCGUUUAGCACAGAGCCUGGCUCACAGUGAGCAUUCAACACACAGUCCCUAUUGUCACUAUGAGCUACUCUGACAGAAGAAGGACCCCUGGAAUGGGUGUCAGGUCACCUGCAUUCUAAUUUGGAUGCUGCCACUAAGAGGUGGGUGGCUUCGAGCAAUUCCACAGCCUGCUUGGGCCUCAGUUUCCCCAUCUGUAAAACAAGAGUGUCCAGACCAGAUGACCUCUCUAGUCCCUUCCAGGGCUGACCUUCCAUCACUCCAGCACUUUCCAUAGCUCCCAUUCGUCCGUCCCAGCUCAGUUAAACGUCACCAUUUCUAGGAAGCCUUUCCCAAGACCCUAGAAGCUGGGCACCCUGGGGAAAUGAAUCCCUCCCCCGGCCCCGUGCCGGGAGAAGGCGUCCCGGGACGAGCCCUACAGCGGCUGCGAGUGCCGCCCCCGCCUCUGAGGGGCAGCCCCAGGGAGAAUCGUGAGAUGAGGGGACACUGUGUCGGGUCCUCUGGGCUGAUGCGCUCCCCCCGUUUUACAGAUGGAGACACUGAGGCCCCAGGCCUUAAACAACGCACGCGGCACAGCCCCGGGAGCCUGGGGUCCCAGCACCCCGCCGCUGCCCGGGUGACUCAGGGCUUCACUGUCACCCCGCAGCCGUCACUCUCCAGUUGGUGAUUUUCCUCGGUUGACGCCGCUGUGUGGGCCUUUCUCUUCUUUCCUUGUCAGUCUGUACUCACCAGGCUGGGGGAGGGGCCGAGUGUGGAGCAGAACAGAAGGAAAAGAAAGAAAAAGAGGGGGUGGGAGCCGGACAGAGGGGAGAGGCCGCCCCAGGCCGCUCUGACCCCUGUGGGAGGGACAGGAGGCGUGGGGGAGGAGGCGACAGCGGAGGUGGGCGGGUGCGUCAGAGGUUAACUGCCCCUGGGGUGGCAUCAGGCCUCUGGGACUCCAGGGAUGAACGCCUGGGGCCAGGGGAGCUGCGUAUGUGUCGGAGCCGGGCUCUCAGAGGCUCCCCGCACCCCCGACUCUGCCCACUUUUCAGACACCUGUGAGGGGCCAGCAUUGUGCGGCCCAACCACACAGCGGGGAACAGGCACAGUCCUGCUGGAAGUGGCUCUGAGCCAGCCCAGGGCGCUCAGCACCCCGCUGUCCAAGCCACUCCGGGGCCCUCAGGGAGCUGCCGGGUCAGCUUGGGGGUCUGCGGGGGCCCCACCUCGGGCUGGCGCAUGGGGCGCAGGUGAGGGGCCAGGAAGGAUCUCCAGAGGAAAAGGGCUGAGAGAAGCACGCGCAAGAGCCGGCAGAUGAAGACCGGGGCAUGACGGGGAAGAAGGUCCCAGCAGCGGGAACAGCGCAGAGGACAGGUCCAGACGCAGCGCAGAGUGAUGCACAAGAGGGCCACCGGGAGUAGCGUCUGCUCAGAUGUCUGUCUCCACCACCACAUUACAAGCUUCCCUGAUGCAAAAAUGGGAUUCCACUCCUCACUAACUUUACGUGUGCAUAUAUGAAUGUAUGCGUGCAUUCAUUCCUUCAUCCCUUUUAGCUGGAACAAUACAAAGUGCAUUAAAAAUCUUGUGGGAAGAAGUGGCAGAUCUAUGACGGCCUUUCCCCUUGGGAUCCCAUGUACUGUUGCACAGGUUGUGCACUACAAUUCUCCCUCUGCAAUAAGAGUAACACCCACAGGCCUGCUGUAUGCUGUCAUUUAUUUGUAGUAAUUCUCUCUCUCUCUCGGCUUAUGCCGUGUGAAUAGAGUCAGGUGCUGAGAACACAGCAGGGAGUGAGAGAGGCGAAGUCUUUAUCCUCUUCCCUCAAGGAGAGUAUAUUCUUGAGGAGGCAGAUAAAAGAAACAGGAAAGUUCGAAAACGUAAAGGUAAUCUUAGAUGUUGAUGCUGUCAGGGCAGGGAGACAGGGUGAGGCAAUGAGUGUGACCUGGUGUCUGGAAGUCCUCUCUGCCGAGAGGACCCUUUAGCUGACACCAGUGGUGAGAGGAGAGGCAGCAUGUGAAGGCCUGCAGGGAAGAGCAUUCCAGGGAGAGGGAACAGUGUGUGCAAAGGGCCAGGGGUGGAAACAAGUUCAGUGGAUAUGAGAAAUAGGAAGGUGGCCUUGGUGCAGCUGGAGUGCAGGGAGAGUGGGAGGGCCGGGGCACGCAGGGCCAGGCUGCCCGCACGGACGACCCUGGAUUCUAUGCUGAGCAAGAGGGACAGCGUUCUUCACAAGCCGUGAUCAACUUCCUCCAGGCUCUCUUGGAACGCUAAGUGGAGAGUGACUCAGAGGAGGCUAGGCUGAGAGCGGGAGGAGAGAUGCAGUCCCAGUGAGAUGACAGUGGCCUGGCUUAGGGUGGGGGUGGCACGCAGGGGGAUGGAGGUGCUGGGCUGAAGAGGCCCAGAGGACACGAUGGAGUUGGGGACUCUGCUCCCAAUAGUAAUAAUAAUAAUGACAAUGAUAUUAUUCACGAGUACAAAGCGCUUUUGCAGCCCCUUUUCCACCAGGCGGGAGGCACAGGGCACCAGCUGCGUCAGCUGAGGCUCAGAGAGGUGAAGAGUCGUAUGAGGUUACCACCUGGAGGAGAACCACAGGAGCUCUCUUGCUGCCUCAGUAUCCCCCCUGACACCGCUUCUCUCUGUAGGCCCGGCUGCAGUCAGACAGCCUUGCCCCCUAGCCUGCGGGCAGCCGGGCACAGUGGGCUUCUGUUUAUGACCUUGGGCAGAAAACAUGGUUUAGCAACUGGAGAAACAUCGAGAAGCUGCAGCCCGACACGCUUAGACUGGCAAACGCUCGCUGGGCCCGUCUUUGAACAUGAGGAUAUGGAACCCUCGUUUAUUUAUACUCAGAACCCAGACGCUGCCUCCUGCCAGCCCUCCUGGGACCCCUCCUUCAGCCCCGUCCCACAGAGGGGCUCCCGGCAUGGCCUGGGGGGGGGAGGGGGGGGAGGGGAGACUGAAGGGCAAAAGGGGAGGGGUGUAAACAUCACUGAGCGCCUUCUGUAUGCUGGUCCUUAGCUAUUUCUCAUCUAAUCAUCGAUCCUGUGAAAGGGAGAUCAGACACACAGGGGGCAGGACCAGGGUUCAAAUCCGGUUCUGUCCUUUGUCAGCAGACUGGGGAGAGUUCCUUGUCUAUAGCAUGGAGAUGACGACAGGAGUUGCCUCCUCAGGGCUGGUGUGGGGUCCAAGACACCGUCCAGCGCAUAGUAAGUGCUCAGUAAACAGGAACUGGCCUCGGGACUCUGCGGUUGCUAUUACCCCAUUUCCUAAUGGGGAAACAGAGGCCCAGAGAGGCUACAAAUUUGCCCAAGGCCACACAGCUAGGAGUCGCAGAGCCACCGGCAGGUCUGUGGAGCCCUGAAGCCAGGGUCUGGAGACCGUCCCCAAGCAUGAAAUCCAUUGGAGGGUUACGCCCUUCCCCUCAAGUCUAGCAGGUGCUGGACAGGCCUACUGUGUGCCAGGCUGGGCGGGCGGCUGUGAAGAUGGGCAGACACGGAACCGGCGCCCCACAGCGCGUGGCCUCAUGGGGCAGACAGACGACAACAGCUCCCUUAGUGACGCAGGGUAUGAGGUACCGUCACCAGUGAGCCCAGGGCUGGAGGGGGACAGCCGUGAAGGCUCCUGGGAGCCCCAAACCAGUCCACCAGGAAUGACCCGAUGCGCAGGAGGGAGGUCAUCGGUCUCACCGACCCCUGGAUUCGACCUUGCCACGACCAACUGUUGGCUUUUUGCUGGCAUAGCUUCCAUGUUCCACUCCCGUCUGCCUCUAAAGGUCUUCCCUUUUGUCCAGCUCCUCGCAGCUCCUUUUCACCUGCCACGUGGAGAGGGCAGCUCGCCUGAAGCACGAGCUGUUGAAUAAAACCGAUGAGAUCUUCA